rnacentral:rRNA from 1 species
CUGCCCUAAAGACUGGAACAACCUGCCGAAAGGCUGGCUAAUACCGGAUACACUCAUUUAGUCUUCGGAAAGGAUGAGAAAAGGUGGCCUCUGCAUACAAGCUACUACUUUAGGAUGAGCCCGCGGCCCAUCAGCUCGUUGGCGGGGUAAUGGCCCACCAAGGCAACGACGGGUAGCUGGUCUGAGAGGACGAUCAGCCACACUGGAACUGAGACACGGUCCAG